rnacentral:lncRNA from 1 species
GAAAACCAGGCCCUAUUGCUACCAGAUGAGCAGUGUGGGCACUGGAGGUGACUCAUGUGGAAUUGGUUUGCCCAGGGCACAAUGCAGAGCAGCCACAUGGGCACAGCGCCGCACAAAGGCGCUCUCAACAAGAGCCUGAUGGAGGUUUCACAGCAUUGUGGAUGGAACCUGCCCCUGCUUCAAAUUACAGGUUCGCUGCUGUGUGUUGCUGUGAGCAUUUCUGCAUUCUUUGAGCUGAUAUCUUUUUCUGGACGAAGCAGGAGCCUGACUUCUGUCACCUUACACACCAACUUACUGACAAAAGGAAAAAAUAAGAUACCAAAGAGAUUCUCAAAUUUCUCCUUGACUUGACGUGGCAUUUCCAACAAGAGUUAGAAGCAGUGGAAACUCAUAAAUAAAUUCAACAAUUUGCUAAAUUUAGCUGAAUAAAUGCUGCUUUUCCCUGCCGCUCUAUGUCAGAAGUGGGGAUUCCUUCAUGCAUUGGGAAGCACCAGCAAGAAAAUCCAAGCCAUGGUCUUGGCAGGAUGUUUCACAGCAAUUGUUAGCCUGAAAAGCUCUGAAUAUUCUUACGAAUGGAAUAUCACAGGGUUGGAGAAUGUGUGCACUCUUCCAGGUGAGUUUCUCAGGGGUGUGUGUGGUAUUUGAGGACCUGUGAUGUACAGCGUUGUUACGGACUGCUCGCUGUGGGUGCUGGAUAUAUGGCACUGUUGCUGUUAGAGUAAUUAAGAGCACUGAUUAUCAUCAGUUGGUCGUGCCCUGCUGUGGGUGUUACUGUGUCGUCUCACUGGUCCUGACCUCGAUGGCAGGAGGUUGGAUGGUGGGAAGCACUGGGCACAAUUCUUUGAGGACUCAGUAUUCCUUGCAGCUGGUGCUGCGAGAUGGAUGUGGUAACGGGGCACAGACUGGAGCUCCCAGCCCCGCUUCGGGCCGGCCCCAGAACCUGCUCCUCUCAGGGAGAAAAUGGCGGCGCGGCCGCCGGGCGCC